UCCCCAGUGUACUCUUUACCACUCUGUUACCUGAGCAAGGAAAUUGAGAAGAUCAAAGCUCCAGUUUGGACGCAGACCAUUCCUAAGGUUCUCAGAAGAUACCGUCAUGAAGAUCUCCUCAAGAUCACCGAGUACUUCAGGCCCUGCCUGGCCUAUCUGAUUAAAGCUAAGAUGACCAACAUCCUGGAGAGCCUGGUCAGCAAGGAGAUCCUCACCAAUGAUGAG